GACGAACGCUGGCGGCGUGCUUAACACAUGCCAGUCGAACGGAAAGGCCCUGCUUUUGUGGGGUGCUCGAGUGGCGAACGGGUGAGUAACACGUGAGUAACCUGCCCUUGACUUUGGGAUAACUUCUGGAAACUGGGGCUAAUACCGGAUAGGAGCUCCUGAUGCACGGUGGGGGUUGGAAAGAUCCGGCGGUUGUGGAUGGACUAGAGGCUUAUCAGCUUGUUGGGCGGGUAGUGGAUUACCAAGGCUUUGACGGGUAGCCUGCCUUAGAGGGUGACCGGCCACCUUGGGACUGCGAGACGGCGCAGACGCGUAUGGGAGGCAGUAGUGGGGAAUAUUGCACAAUGGGCCGAAGUGUGAUGUAGCAACGCCGCGUUCGGGAUGCCGGCUUUUGGGUUGUAAACCGCUUUCGCAUGUGACGAAGCCUUAGUGACGGUAAUGGGUAAAGAAGCACCGGCUAACUACGUG
rnacentral:rRNA from 1 species